UAGUGAAUUACUUACACAAUGGGGAAGCACAUCAAGCACAAUGCCCAACUUUUCAUCUUACUUUCCAUGGUUCUUCUAAGCUGCAUGGUUUCUUCAGCCGUACAGGACAGAGCAUUGAUGACAAGGGGAGCAGCACAACGGCUAUACGGCCUAACGAUGACCCCGACUAUGUGAGAGAGACGAAGUUGAAGUGGCCGCGGAAACGACAGUACUGCUGCAACUAUUUUGCAUAUACUGGUCCAUGCUACGAUGACUAUACGUUCUGCAAAGCCCAUUGCCCAUGAUUCAACACAAUUCCCAUGAAUAGUUUUCAUGUAAUAAGGAAGAGAUGAUAUGCAAUAAGUUUUCCUAUCAAUAUUUACUUUUCCAAUUGCUCAAAUGAAUAAAGAUAUGAUUUCCUAAA